UACGUAGGGUGCAAGCGUUAUCCGGAAUCACUGGGCGUAAAGCGUGCGUAGGUGGCGCGUUAAGUGAGAUGUUAAAUCGUGUGGCUCAACCAUAUCGAUGCAUCUCAUACUGGCGUGCUAGAGGACGGCAGAGGCAAGUGGAAUUGGUAGUGUAGCAGUGAAAUGCGUAGAUAUCUGAAGGAACAUCAGUGGCGAAAAGCGACUUCCUGGACCAGUACCGACGUUCAGGCACGAAAGCGUGGGGAGCAAACAGG
rnacentral:rRNA from 1 species